rnacentral:rRNA from 1 species
CCCUGAGUAUAGCGGCGCACGGGUGAGUAACGCGUGGAUUAUCUACCCAGACGUUCGGGAUAACGGCGGGAAACUGCCGCUAAUACCGGAUACGCUCCAAUUUCGGUUGGGGGAAAGGCGGCCUCUGCUUGCAAGCUGUCGCAUCUGGAUGAGUCCGCGUCCCAUUAGCUUGUUGGUGGGGUAAUGGCCUACCAAGGCUACGAUGGGUAGCUGGUCUGAGAGGAUGAUCAGCCACACUGGAACUGAAACACGGUCCAGACUCCUACGGGAGGCAGCAGUGGGGAAUAUUGCGCAAUGGGGGAAACCCUGACGCAGCGACGCCGUGUGAGGGAAGAAGGCUUUCGGGUCGUAAACCUCUGUCAGAAAGGAAGAACCUCCCAAGUCCGAAUAGGGCUUGGGACUGACGGUACUUUCAACGGAAGCACCGGCUAACUCCGUGCCAGCAGCCGCGGUAAUACGGAGGGUGCAAGCGUUAAUCGGAAUCACUGGGCGUAAAGCGCGCGUAGGCCGCUUUGUAAGUCGGACGUGAAAGCCCUCAGCUCAACCGGGGAACUGCGUUCGAUACUGCGAGGCUUGAGUCCUGGAGAGGGUGGCGGAAUCCCGGGUGUAGGAGUGAAAUCCGUAGAUAUAUGGAGGAACACCAGUGGCGAAGGCGGUUGCCUGGCCUGUAACUGACGCUGAGGCACGAAAGCGUGGGGAGCAAAUAGGAUUAGAUACCCUAGUAGUCCACGCUGUAAACGAUGAUUACUAAGUGUUGGAGAAAUUCAGUGCUGCAGUUAACGCAAUAAGUAAUCCGCCUGGGGAGUAUGCACGCAAGUGUGAAACUCAAAGGAAUUGACGGGGGCCCGCACAAGCGGUGGAGUAUGUGGUUUAAUUCGAAGCAACGCGAAGAACCUUACCAGGUCUUGACAUACCGGGCAAAGCUCUAGAGAUAGAGAAAUAGUUAUGCCGGAUACAGGUGGUGCAUGGUUGUCGUCAGCUCGUGUCGUGAGAUGUUGGGUUAAGUCCCGCAACGAGCGCAACCCUUGUCUUUAGUUACCAUCAUUCAGUUGGGGACUCUAAAGAGACUGCCGGUGACAAACCGGAGGAAGGUGGGGAUGACGUCAGAUCAUCAUGCCCCUUAUGACCUGGGCUACACACGUACUACAAUGGCGCAUACAACGGGAAGCGAAGUGGUGACAUGGAGCAAAUCUCAAAAAGUGCGUCUCAGUUCAGAUUGAAGUCUGCAACUCGACUUCAUGAAGUCGGAAUCGCUAGUAAUCGCGGAUCAGAAUGCCGCGGUGAAUACGUUCUCGGGCCUUGUACACACCGCCCGUCAAACCACGAAAGUUGAUAAUACCCGAAGCCGGUGGGCUAACCGCAAGGAGGCAGCCGUCGAAGGUAGG